ACAACUACAACCGCACGUUUUAAGUUCAAGUAUUCAUUUUAUUUAAAUGGAUCACUACAUUACGGCGAGUCUAAGUCAAU
rnacentral:sRNA from 1 species